rnacentral:rRNA from 1 species
AUGUGUGCUCCAAAGAGAGAUGGUGGUUUAGGGUUCAGGGACCCUGAAGCUUUUAACCAGGCUCUUUUAGCCAAGCAAGCCUGGCGGAUUCUCUCUUCUCCAUCAUCUCUGGUUGCUAGAGUCCUUAAGGCAAGGUAUUUUUGGGAUAGCUCCAUCCUUGCAACUACGUGCCCCUCAAAUGCUUCAUAUACUUUCAGGAGUAUUCUCCAUGGU